GACAGAGGGUGCAAACGUUGUUCGGAUUUACUGGGCGUAAAGCGUGUGUAGGCGGCUUUACAAGUCGGAUGUGAAAUCCCACGGCUCAACCGUGGAAGUGCAUCCGAAACGGCAUCGCUUGAGUCUCGGAGAGGAAGGUGGAAUGCUUGGUGUAGAGGUGAAAUUCGUAGAUAUCAAGCAGAACACCUGCGGCGAAGGCGGCCUUCUGGACGAUGACUGACGCUGAGACACGAAAGCGUGGGGAGCAAACAGG
rnacentral:rRNA from 1 species